UGGAAUUUGAUGUUGUUCAAAUGUAUUCUACUAAUCAUAUUAUUAUAAUUCAGCUUAUGUGUGCCUUUACAAAAUUGACUCCUGUGCUGAAAAUAUGAGGGCUGUCUGUGUGUGUGUAAAAACUGCAAGGUCUUGGUUUCGGUUGAAUGUAGGACCGACCUUGCAGCUGCUGGUGAUAGCCAAAAUAAGAACAAACCUUGAAGGAGAAAGCACACAGACAAAAGAAAUAUAUGCUUUUGAUAUUGAUUCACUAAUAAUCAUUCAUUUCCAGAUUAUUACAUAUAGAAGUGUUUAGAUUUAUAAAAUAAAUGUUGUCAUGAAUAUUAAUGUAUUAAAAUAUAUAAAUGAUUAUGCCUUUGUGCCCAUGAAUAAUGUAGAAGAUUGCCCUGUAAUAAGACAUCGCCAUAUAAGGAUGAAAUGCUCUAGGGCACAAGGUGUUCUGUAUGUUUGUGUGUUAUAUACCCCCACAGGCUAAAGCAGGGUGUAGUAAUGGAGUCAGAUAAUGAGAUGAGAACCGCCUGUUAUGGGGAGGAGAGAUUUGAAGAAAGAACGACGUCACAUAUCAUAUAAAUAUUCAUGUAUUUCCGUAAGCUGGGUUGGUUGCUUGCCACAUGGGGCCUUGAAACAACCCAGCGCUGUAAAACUUUUUCAUAUCUGAUCAAUAAAUAGCUUAUUUUUUUAAUACCGUGUCUUUCCUCUAAUUAUGAACAUGCAAUGGACCCUUAAAGUCCAACAAUUGGUGACCCCGACGUUCUUUGGAGGGAAAAAAGGAGAGACUGAGCGGAAGAAGGGUUUCACAUUGAAGAAACCAGAGUAAGCGAGGAUUCCCUUUCAACACAAAAAGAGCGCUCUAUUAAAAUAAGGUAAGCAGAAGCCUGUUUUAUCGAAUUCUGCUAUUUGGAUAUACCAAAUUACUUGUGUUGAUAAGGAGAUCCGAACUGAAUUACAAAUUUACAUUUUUUAUAAAUUGAUCAGAGUGAAAAACUUUUUGAAAUUUUUGAAUUUUGUUAUUAAUUAAAAAGGUUGAGGAUUCCUUUAAUACAUUAGGUAUUAUAAAAUACCGACUCGGUUGUAGCCGUAAGGAGUGAAAGGCUCUUGGAUGAAAGGUCCAUAAAUACUGUUAAUGGCGGUGUAAGUUAACAGAAUUAAUUAAAAAGGUUGAGGAUUCCUUUAAUACAUUAGGUAUUAUAAAAUACCGACUCAGGUUAUAGCCUGUAGGGGGUGUACAGCAGCCCGUUGGAUGAGAGGUCCACGAAUACUGGAAAGAAGAAAUGACGUCUUAAUGUGAAUAGUAUUGUUGAUAUAUUGUUGUUAUUUUUGUGACAUUUCUGUGAAAGUUGUAUUGUGUUUGUAUUGCGGGUGAAACUCCUGAAAACUACUGGUGUAUAUAUCCUUCUGCUAGAAAAGAGUGACGUGUUGUGCUUUUUGAAGUUUUGAACGCUUGUAAAUUGUGUGAAAAUGGCUAAAUUUAAAAAAAUGUGAUGAGUAUGGUUGCCUAACAGUGUAUGUGCAAUGGCAAAAAGGCAUGUAGUUUGGAAAGGGACCAACUGUAAAAGACUCAGAAACAGAUUUGAGAAAGGGGACGAGAAUCGCUUUUGUUGCAGCUGAAGUCGAGACGAUUACAAAGACCAAAGGGGAAGUUGACAGUUGUGCUGUGAGCGAGCAAAAGGUAGAACAAGGAAGCACUGAGCCAGUACCCUCAGCCCCACCCAUGGCUCCUCCUCAAGUGAAGUCACUAUACCCCUCACUGCACACACCUCCUCCUUAUGAGGAAAAGUCUGUUUCGAUCUCAAAGCAACAGCCGAUGUUAACAGUAAACAGUGGUGAACUAGAUGUUGAAUUUGAUGAAAUAAAGGCCCUGAAAAGAAAAAUGGAAAGAUUAGAACAAACAAUUAUGACACAGGGAGAGAUAAUCACAACUCUAUUAAGAUUACAGAGAAAUGUAAAUGAUAACAACAUGGGAAAGAGAUCUUGUGUAUUACACAGACAGGGCCAUAAACAAAUCACACAAACAGAACUUGUAGAGGUAGAUAAGCUUAAGAAUGAGCUGUUAAAGCUACAGCUAGAACAGGCCAAGCAAGCUAACACAAAAAAGAAACAAAUGCCCCAGCAGGCCCAACCAACACCAGUAGCUAUGACAACUAGUGUCUCGGAUAACGUACAAUAUCCCAAUCAGCCCAUAGAUCCAUAUAAAGGCCCACCCUAUACAGGAAACCCGUGGGAGGGAUAUAACCAACAGAGAAGGGGAGGACCAAGGAGGAGUAGUAGACCAAAACGGGGAGGUUUUGGAGGUUUUGGCAGGAAUACAUGUUAUGUGUGUGGACAGGAAGGACAUUGGAGACGGCAUUGUCCCAACACUUGGUCACAGCCCCAAAAUUCUGGUGCUAGACCACUUAACGGAUCACCUGCGGGGGGAUGGGGUCCCCGAGGAGGUGGUGCCGGGCGUGGAGCCGAUGGCUAUGGCAGGGGGCCACCGAGAUCGCACAACCCAUCACAACCAGAUUUAAUGGCGCCUAUGCACCCAACAUGGGGCCAAAGGGAGUGAUGCGGAUGAAUGACGAGGCACACAGGAACCCACCAUGAAAAGAAUGGCUGGACCUCUCAUGGACCAUUAAGAGCCCUAGUGGAUAAUGGGCCUAGUCCACCGUAAAAAAAAAAAAAAAAAAAAAAAAAGUUUCAACAACGGUGGAGAUAAUGGGUUUCUGGUAAAAUUGAAAAGUGACUAUCAACAAAUCACUACCCUAUAAGGUAGCAAACCAGUCUAGUUUGCACGCAUUUCUGUAUUCCUCCAACACACCAGUUAAUAAUAGAUAGGGACCUAGAAAUUACUAUGACCUGUCAAUGUUGUAAUGUGCCCCCGGACGGACGGGGCACAAAUGAAUGGCUAAUUAAACUAUGGAGAGAUAGAGCCUUAUACCAGACCCAGGACCAGAGACUUGUGUUGUUAUUUAUUUAUUUAUUUUUUGGGCCUAAUAAACAACAAACAAUAGAUAACAAGGUAUGUACCAAUAUAUAAAAUGAUGUCUUAGAUAAAGUUUACCAAAAAAAACCCAGCCAGCCAAACCUGAAAUUAUGUCCAUGAGGGUGUAAACAUGACUGAUCUAAUCACUAAAUGAGCCAUAUGACUGCAUACCAUUGACGGAAAAAGCAAACAAAUUGAGAGAUGGUUUGUUCGCGGUACCACUGACAACUCCCCCACCGGUAAUCACGUUAUUUAUGGAUGGCUUUGUUUUAGAGCAUCAGAUGGUACGCUAAAGGCAGGGUUUGCUGUGGUUGACCAGGUUGAGGGUGAUUUUGUGACUAGAGUGAGUGGUAAAUUGGAGGGUAAGCAGUCAGCACAGACAGCUGAAAUGAUAGCUGUUAUCAAAGCCUUGCACUACACUGGUGAAGAGAGGGUGAUUAUUUAUAGUGACUAUGCAUAUGUGAUUGGUACAGUAUAUAUGGAACUGCCAUAUGGCAGAUAGGUGGGUUUGAAACCAGGAAAGGCCGGCCUAUAAUAAAUAAAUGCUAGCGAAGCCUGACAUAUAAUACAGGCUGUGAAGGUACCUAAUGAAGUGGUUGUUGUCAACUGCCUAAUAAAUCACUUAUAUCCCCAACCAUGGUUUCCCAAGACAAAGUUAGAUCUGACAAACUGACAAACACGCACUGGAAUUGACAUAUAGUUUCGGGGCUGCUCAUCGCCCCAAUGACAGAGCAAAGCUGAAAUAAUGAACCUGACUUUGACAUUAAAACUUGACUUGACAACAUCUGUGCACAGACAAAAAUAACAUGGCUUGACGCAUUGCCAAUUGCAUUAAUGUCUAUUCGCUCUUCUGUUAACAGGAUUUCUGGUUUCACAUCCUUUGAAUUGCUUACAGGUCGACAGUUUCCAGGCCCACGAAACGCCUUGGUGUAGGAUCCAAUCCUGCCACUAACUGAUGCUGUUUAUCUUUACAAACUAACUGCUAUGAUUAAAAAAUUUUCCUGCCAGGCUAAACGACACCGGGACAACGACCAAGUUGUUACAAAUGAUGAUUGAGUGAAAGUGAAGGUGUUCAGACGGUGCUGGGCCGAACCAAGACGGUCCAGGCCACCGAGAGUAAAAGCAAGAACCUAACAUUGUGUUCAACUACAGGUCAAAGGCGACACCUGGUUCCAUCUCUCUUCUUGUGUUAAAUGUGAUUAUCCCAGCAGGUUUCUAACAGAUAAAGGUGUGGACCUGAGGACUCAGGUCCAAGAGAGGGAGAGUGUUGAAAGUGAAAGUGAAUUAGCUGGAAUACAGAGAGAACAAACAGGAAGUGAAACAUCAGUGGUAACACUCGCACAACACCAACAACGAAGUCAACAAACACUCUGUAAAAUUGUGCAUAAAAAAAGGUUACAUUUUUUCCAGCCCAGCAACAGAACCACAAAAGGUUGUAAGACAGAAUAAAAACACAGGUGAAUGUGCAGUUACCCAUGAGGACGACGGCAGAUUGAUUUUUCAUUUAAUAACAAAACAAAAUUGUACUGAUUUACCAACAUAUGAGAAUUUUACCAACAGCUGGGGGGUGUGGCCUGGAUAAAUUGGAUUUCCAUAAAGUGCUGGAAAUCCUGACAGAAGUGUUCAGGGACCUGAACAUCACAAUUACUGUUUAUUCAUUAUAACCUGGGUAGCUACAUACCAUAUUGACCUUCGAAUUUCUUAAGUUUCUUAUAUAAUCUUACAUUUCAAUGUUUCCUUUUGAAUUUAAUUUCUAAGUGUCUUAUACAAUGCUACAGUAUUAAUUUUACAUUUUAAUUUUCUUUUUCCUUUUUCAACUUACGAUUGUUAUUUGAGUAUUAGCCAAUAGGCAUAAGUGUAUUUUUUCCCACAGAGAUGAAGCUAUAUGGAAAUUGGAAGGUUCUGUGGGCCCUAGGGGUUAUAGCUGCAAUUAUAAUCACCAUAAUAUUUAGCAUAAACAAUGGAAAUAAUCUGAAAAUUGACAAAAGGUCCAAAACUACAUCACAAGAUUAGUGUGUAAAGAGAUAUGGGGGAAUUGAAUUAAAUUACACAAAAAAAAAUUCAACGACAUCAUACACCUUUGAUUUAUGAACAUCUAUAGUGGUCUCAAUUGGAGUAUUUGUGGCCAUACUGGUCACUUGUGGAUGUUGUUGUAUCCCCUGUCUCAGAUCCCUGUGUAACAGGCUGAUAGUGUCAGCAAUAGAGAAAAAAGAGAAUAAUCCGCCCCCAUAUAGCAUGCCCCUAUUAGGCCUACAGAACCUGGAUGAGGAGGACGAAGAGAAUGUGUGACCUCUUUCAGAGGUCAAGAGAGGGAAUUGUGGAAUUUGAUGUUGUUCAAAUGUAUUCUACUAAUCAUAUUAUUAUAAUUCAGCUUAUGUGUGCCUUUACAAAAUUGAUUCCUGUGCUGAAAAUAUGAGGGCUGUCUGUGUGUGUGUAAAAACUGCAAGGUCUUGGUUUCGGUUGAACGUAGGACCGACCUUGCAGCUGCUGGUGAUAGCCAAAAUAAGAACAAUCCUUGAAAGAGAAAGCACACAGACAAAAGAAAUACAUGCUUUUGAUAUUAAUUCACUAAUAAUCAUUCAUUUCCAGAUUAUUACAUAUAGAAGAGUUUAGAUUUAAAACAUUAAAUGUUGUCAUGAAUAUUAAUGUAUUAAAAUAUAUAAAUGAUUAUGCCUUUGUGCCCAUGAAUAAUGUAGAAGAUUGCCCUGUAAUAAGACAUUGCCAUAUAAGGAUGAAAUGCUCUAGGGCACAAGGUGUUCUGUAUGUUUGUGUGUUAUAUACCCCCACAGGCUAAAGCAGGGUGUAGUAAUGGAGUCAGAUAAUGAGAUGAGAACCGCCUGUUAUGGGGAGGAGAGAUUUGAAGAAAGAACGACGUCACAUAUCAUAUAAAUAUUCAUGUAUUUCCGUAAGCUGGGUUGGUUGCUUGCCACAUGGGGCCUUGAAACAACCCAGCGCUGUAAAACUUUUUCAUAUCUGAUCAAUAAAUAGCUUAUUUUUUUAA